CUGGUGUUCGGGUUGUCAUGCCAAUGGCACUGCCCGGUAGCUAAAUGCGGAAGAGAUAAGUGCUGAAAGCAUCUAAGCACGAAACUUGCCCCGAGAUGAGUUCUCCCUGAGACUUUAAGUCUCCUGAAGGAACGUUGAAGACGACGACGUUGAUAGGCCGGGUGUGUAAGCGCAGCGAUGCGUUGAGCUAACCGGUACUAAUGAACCGUGAGGCUUAACCUUACAACGCCGAAG
rnacentral:rRNA from 2 species